GACGAACGCUGGCGGCGUGCUUAACACAUGCAAGUCGAACGCUGAGGGCCCAGCUUGCUGGGUUGGAUGAGUGGCGAACGGGCGAGUAACACGUGAGUAACCUGCCCUCUUCUUUGGGAUAACGGUCGGAAACGGCUGCUAAUACCGGGUAUUCACUGUCCUUCGCAUGGGGGGUGGUGGAAAGGUUUUUUCUGGUGGGGGAUGGGCUCGCGGCCUAUCAGCUUGUUGGUGGGGUGAUGGCUUACCAAGGCUUUGACGGGUAACCGGCCUGAGAGGGUGACCGGUCACAUUGGGACUGAGAUACGGCCCAGACUCCUACGGGAGGCAGCAGUGGGGAAUAUUGCACAAUGGGCGAAAGCCUGAUGCAGCGACGCCGCGUGAGGGAUGGAGGCCUUCGGGUUGUAAACCUCUUUCGCUCAUGGUCAAGCCGCAACAGUGGUUGUGGUGAGGGUAGUGGGUAAAGAAGCACCGGCUAACUACGUGCCAGCAGCCGCGGUAAUACGUAGGGUGCGAGCGUUGUCCGGAAUUAUUGGGCGUAAAGGGCUUGUAGGCGGUUUGUCGCGUCUGCCGUGAAAUCCUCUGGCUUAACUGGGGGCGUGCGGUGGGUACGGGCAGGCUUGAGUGCGGUAGGGGAGACUGGAACUCCUGGUGUAGCGGUGGAAUGCGCAGAUAUCAGGAAGAACACCGGUGGCGAAGGCGGGUCUCUGGGCCGUUACUGACGCUGAGGAGCGAAAGCGUGGGGAGCGAACAGG
rnacentral:rRNA from 1 species